UUCAGUAUGAAUUUAAUUUUGGUUCUGAUUGAACGUUUUUCAGUAGUUUUAAGACAUGCAAAUCGUUGUUCCUAAAAGUUUUAUAUUUAUGUUUACUGUUAAAAAGUAAAUAUUAAAUUUAAAAAAAUAAGAAUAAGGUGUAAAGGUGAGUAUUGUAAAUUAGAUACCUUAUAGUCUCUUUAAUUCGGAGAUAAUUUUAUUUCUCCUAUUAUAAUAAUAAAAAGUUAUUUAAAUACCCCUCCAACUCACCUCCCUUCCUUUAUAAUCCUUUUAAUUAAAGGGAUUAUAAAAUGGGAGGGAGGUGCAAGUUGGAAAAGGGAGGAGAUACUUAUUGUAGAAUAAAAAAAAAAGGGUUAAAAUCUUUAAAAAGGAUUAAUUAGCUAGCCUUCUCUAAUAUAAAAAUAUUAUGGUUAUAUUAAACAAUAAGGAAAGUAAAAGAUAAAUUAGCUAUUUAUUACAUAAAAGGAAAUUUUCUGCUAUAAGAUUCGAUUUAUUUUGUUUAAUGGUAGUUGGUGGGGUAAAUGCCUACCAAGCCUACGAUCAAAAGCCAUGUUUGAUAGAGCAGAUGGCCACAUUGGGAAUGAAAUGCCCCAAGUAGUGUAAACUACCAGCAGUCAAGAAUAUUAGUCAAUGCUCGCAAGAGUGAACUAGCUAACUGAAAUCACAUGAGUCAUGCUAAAUGUUGGUGAUUGUGAUAACGUAAGGGAAAAAAAUGAUGUUACCUUACUAUUAGUGUUGUCCAAAACUGGUGCCAGAAGACUCGGUAAGGCCAGAGACGCAAACGUUAGUCGUCCUAAUCAGGCGUAAAGGGUGUGUAGGCUGCUUUAAAAGUUUUAUCUUUAUUUAAGCUCUGUAAUCGUAGUAAAAUUUAUUAAAUUAAAAAAAUAAAUGAUAUUAAUAUUUAUAAUAUCCGUUUACGGUAAGGAUAAGAUUAAUUAAAGCUAGGAUCAAAUUGGGGAUAAACCGAAUAAUACUUAGAGUAGGGAUUAAAUCCGUAGAUACUAAGGGGAAUACUAAAGGUGAAAGCUUUUUAUCUACUAUUGAUUGACGCUGAGAAACGAAGGUGAGAAUAGGAAAUAGGAUUAGAUACCCAGAUACCUCUCACUGUCAACGAUGAAUGGUGGUUGUUAGUUUUAAAAAAAACUGGUAACGAUGUUAACACGAUAACCAUUCCGCCUUGCGAGUACGGUUGCAAAACUGAAACCAAAAAAAUUAGUCGGUCUCGAAGCAAACGAAGUGAAGCAUGUUAUUUAAUACGAGAAUACGCGUAAAACCUUACCAGUUCUUGCAUAUCCAAUCUGUUCUUAGAUUUAUCUAGGUUCUUUUUAAUAAGUAAACAGAUUGAGUGGUUUCUUUUAAUAAUUAAAGAAAUCCGUUUACAGGUGUUGCAUGGCUGUCGUAAGUCCGUGCCGUGAGAAGUGAGGUUAACUCCGCUAACGGACGAAAUCCCUGUUGUUAAUUUAUACUUAACAAUUAAUGAAUUUUAUAUAUUUUCAUUUGGGGCUAAGACAAGCCGUUAUGGCCCUCAUGAACUGGGCUAUAGACGUGCCACGAAAACUUUUACAAAGUGACGCAAAAACCAGACCUCUAUACUACUGCUAAUUAGCAAUUAGUUAAUAUUUAAGAGUAAUAUUUAUUUAUAUUUAUAUUUUUUCUUUAAAUUUAAAUUUAAAUUUUUAUAAUUGUUAAAUAAUAAGGUUACAAGGAAUAGCUAAUCAUUAAAGAAAGUUAAAAAAUUAAAUAUAUAGACGGAUUGUCGCCUGCAAUUCGGCGGCAUGAAGAAGGAAUUUCGAGUAAUCGUUGAUCACUAGCGCAACGGUGAAGAAAGCAUUCGGGAUGAACUAACUGUCUGUCGCUGGGAAGAAGCUUAACUUGGGGGAAACUGCCGCGAGGUUAUAACUUUUUAAAAGGAAUAUAAAUUAAAUUAUAAUGGUUUAAUUUAAGUGUAGUUUGUAUGCUAACCUUAUUAUUUAGAAUUAAUUCUGUAUUUAAGGUAAUAGUCUUUUAUUAAAAACACCUUUUUUAAGCUAAUUAGUAUCAGUUAACCCAUUUAAGUAACAUCUCAAAAGUCAUAGCAAGGUAGCUGUACUGGAAAGUGCUGCUGGAAAAUAAAUAUA
rnacentral:ncRNA from 1 species